rnacentral:lncRNA from 1 species
GGGAGUUGAGCAGGGCCCUGAUCCACAGCUUCACCGCUGGGGCAGGGCCCCUGGAGCUCCAGGCAUGGAAGAAGGCCAACAAGCCAGGCAGCCCAGCUUCUUGAGGUGGAGGCUGCCAUAGGUCUGGAUACCUAUCAACCCAGAAGGGAACCAUCACUUUCUUCCAGGGAAAACAUAAAAUGAGAAUGGAGAAGUGCCUAGGAAAGAGGAGGGAGAAACCCACCCGGGCACACAGGAGCUCCGAGGAUAAGUGAGGGGUUGCCCCACUAGCUGGGCAGCACCACAGGUCAAUCACAGCCUUGGCAUCAGGAAUGAUUAAUCUGGGUCCUGGGAGGAAAGGGCACAUUCAGGAGGCUGAGACCCACCAUCUAGACUGAGGUCACCAGUUCCCUCUCCAUACUCAUCAACCCUGCACAUCUGAGCCAAGUGCUUAGCAGCUCAAUCAAAUUAACUGUGGCACUUUCAAAAGCAUCAAAAUAGCUACAAGUCUCCCUAAAAAGAAGGCAGGCGCCUUGUUUUCAAGAAAAGAUACGAAGUCAUCACCCGGAGAUCAGGAAACAAAUGUUCAUUCUAUGCCGGCACACAUCCCCCCCCCCCCUCCAUGGUCCCCUCUCCCCCUGAAAAAAAGAAAAGGUUUAAAAAUAUCAGCACCAA